CUUGACUUGGCAGAUGUACAUAGAUAAAGAUCUUUGUAAAUGUACAUAAAAAUUCCUCCUUUUUAAUUUUUUAACUGAUCAGGCCUUUGGCCCACCAUUAUUUUUUAUGUUAGGAACUAAUAUAUUGUUUAGUGCAAUUGAGUGAGCGAGACACCAAUAUAAGUAGAGAAAUAAUUUAUUCUCCUCAUGUUAUUAUUUUUCAUAUAAUUCACAGAAUAUUUUUGUCUACUGUUACAUAUUCGAUGGUAUAGCACUUCAAAUUGGAACAACAAGUGUGUAUGAACAGUUCCCAACACAUAAUAUAUUUCUUCACACCUAUGUAUGAAGAUAUCCAACAGAAGCUUGUGCCUCACCAAUCUCUGUUCCACUUGCAGCUGUUCCAAAGGCAACUGCGUCGUAUACACCUAUAUGUUUCCACUUUUGAAUGUGGGUUUAAGAAGUUAGCCAUUUCAAAUUGUGGGUGACUGGAAACCAAGUUGCAAAACUCGCCUUUCAUAACGUUGGGAUUAGAGUCUGUAGCUGGCAUCCAUACUAACCUAUGCUUGUGAGCUCUUCUUGGAAUUGUCAAAUUGCUAGAUGGCAAUUCAAGGGCUCUUGUAAUGUUUGCAGGUUGCAGAGCUCUUGGUAAAAAGGGGAACAAAUGAGGGUAUUUUCUUGGU